rnacentral:rRNA from 1 species
AUACGGAAGGGGGCUAGCGUUGCUCGGAAUGACUGGGCGUAAAGGGCGUGUAGGCGGUUUACACAGUCAGAUGUGAAACUCCCCGGGCUUAACCGUGGGAGCUGCAUUUGAUACGUGUAGACUAGAGUGUGAGAGAGGGUUGUGGAAUUCCCAGUGUAGAGGUGAAAUUCGUAGAUAUUGGGAAGAACACCGGUGGCGAAGGCGGCAACCUGGCUCAUGACUGACGCUGAGGCGCGAAAGCGUGGGGAGC